GAGGAGUGGAGAUGAGGCUCACCUUUCAGACUCGCUCUCUUAAAUAAAAAAGAAUUGUCCGGCUGGGCGCCUAAGAAUUUAUCUUGAGUUUGUGGUCAUUAUCUCUAUUAUACAGACCUGGCAAUAAAUAAAUCGGUCUUGUCUUCUCGCUUGUCUACAAGGAUCUGUCUUCACCCUUUGAGGCUACCUAAUCUGCUUCAAGACAAAGGGUCGGCCAGGAUCAAAUGUCUUUCCCCCACCCGUGUCUCUAUUUUAACCGCCUGGUGAGUCGACUUUAAUGAAGAUCGCCCCCGUCGCAGCAGCCACCCAAGCGGUCUCUAGGAGAAAGGGCGCAAAACAGAGCCCGGGGGACCGACCCGGGGAAGGCGUUCUACGACCUGUCCGUGGGCACGCCCUUGGGUGCGCACGGAGUCCAAAGGCCCAUCUGGAGAGACUGCUUGGGCCAUUUCUCCCUCUCAUGGCCCUCAUCCCGCUUCCUGCCAGUGUGCCUGCCCACGCAGAGCUUUCCGAGGUGGGGGUCGCAUCCCUCCGACUUCUCCCGGCUCGCUCUCCGCCCAGGCACGGCACACCACACGCGGACAAGAGCGCGAGCAGCCUGGGCCGGUCGGAGAAGUCCGUCCUCACUCCUCUGCCGGCUCCUCUGCGUCCGCAGGCAUAAAAACCCAUCAACGGGGCUCCGCAUAGGGGCGCGGACGCGGAGGUGGGCUGGAGGUGCGGGCGCUCCUUUCAGGUGCCUAGACGUGCGGCUGGCUGGAGAGGAUGUAUGCACUCCCACCCGGCCUGGGCU
ensembl:lncRNA